rnacentral:rRNA from 1 species
UACGGAGGAUGCGAGCGUUAUCCGGAUUUAUUGGGUUUAAAGGGUGCGCAGGCGGGAGAUUAAGUCGGCGGUGAAAUUUUGCAGCUCAACUGUAAAAGUGCCUUCGAAACUGGUUUCCUUGAGUGUAGAUGAAGUAGGCGGAAUUUGUGGUGUAGCGGUGAAAUGCAUAGAUAUCACGAGGAACUCCGAUUGCGCAGGCAGCUUACUAAACCAUAACUGACGCUCAGGCACGAGGCGUGGGGAUCAAACAGGAUUAGAUACCCCGGUAGU